GGGGGGCGCGGCCGAAGGUGGGUUCGAUAAUUGGGGUGAAGUCGUAACAAGGUAGCCGUAUCGGAAGGUGCGGCUGGAUCACCUCCUUUCUAAGGAGA
rnacentral:rRNA from 1 species